rnacentral:lncRNA from 1 species
GAUAAUUCCUUAGAAUUCGACUAGGAUAAGGGUUUCUAAGACUUAUCUUAUGGUUGCUUGGUGGGCAAGCAACUAGAUAAGGAUAAGGACUAAAACCCUAAUCUUUACACCUAUAUAAACCCCCUAAGGCUCAUGAAUUCAUCUAAGCCUUCCCAAGAAGUCCUAAGGACGAAUUCCUACCUCUCUCCUCUCUCUUUAUACCUUCUCCAUUUGCUCUUGGUGUUUGUAAGCCAUUAGAGGAGUGACACUUGUGACUCUAAGCCUUCCAAAGUCAAUUCAAGGAGAAAUUGGGAUUGUUAUUGCUACAUAACAAUCAAGGUAAUAUCAUAAACCUAAUUAUAUGUUAAUAUUGAUUUCCAUAUGCUAGAAUUAGGGUUUAUAGUCUUGGAUUCAAAGCAUGUACAAUAGAGAAACCUAGAUCCAAGCAUUAGGGUUUGUAUGAGCACAUAGGAUGUCUUAUGACCAAAACCCAUCAGUGGUAUCAGAGCCUAGAUUGGUUUCUAUUGUAUUGAUGCUUGAUAUGUUUGAAAAAUUCGAUUUUUUGGUUUCUGGAGGCUGGACUCGCCGAGUCCAUAGCUGAACUCGCCGAGUCCAUGCAGACUCGACGAGUCCAUGCUUGACUCGACGAGUCAACUCGUCAGAUGGAGCUUAUCUCGGGAUUUCUUGCUGUUUUUGCUUUGGGAUAGUUACCUUAUCAUAUUAGAUCAAUAUAAAUCCGAUUUUAUGAUAUAUUUGACUAUAUUCUUGAUCUAAUUGAAGAUAUUUAUCAAUUAAUAAGAUAAUUGUUUCCUUAUGUGAUAAUUGAUUAAUUAUUUUGACUAAAUUGAUAAAUUGUUUUGCAAGAAAUCAUUAAAUAAAUCAAAUAUGGAUAAUUAUGUGAUUAAAUGUUAAUUUAGAUUAUUUGUUAUUUGAUCCUUGUUGUUAUGAAAAGUUUCAUAUUUUCCCCUUUAGGUUUUAUAGUUUAAAUUUGAACCCAAAAGUUUUGUUGUUUUGAAAUUUAAAUAGUUAAAACCCUAAUGUUUUGAAAAAGGUUUCAAAACUUGCCCUCAAGUUUUGGAAUUUAAAUUUUGAUUAAAUGGUUUAAUUUUGAUGUAUAUUUAAAUUCUAAACCCUAAUGUGUUGAAAUGUUUCAAAACUUGCCCUCAAGUUUUGGAAUUUAAAAGUUGAUUAAAAGUUUAAUUAGGAAUGUUAAAUUCUAAAACUCUAGUAUAGUUUUGAAAAAGUUCAAAUCACACCCUUAUGGUUUUAUUAAUUAAUUAAGGUGUAUAAUUAAAAGAGGUUUAAUAAAUCCAUAAAAGUUUAGGUUUACAAUUUAAUUGAAUUAAAAGUAUAAUUGUUAAAUUAGACCACCUAGUAUUUUGAAAGUAUAAAAUACACCCUAUACUAUAUAUAACAUUAAAAGUCUAACAUUAUAUAUAUGUAUGAGUAAAAGUCAGUCUUACCGUUAGUAGGCCUCAUUCACGAAGCUGGUCUAUAAGGGGUGUUUAAGGAAAUUGCCUAUAAAAUGGCGAUUGAAUGGGUAUCCACUCUUACCCACCGCACUCUUGACUAGUGGAGGGUCGUUAGCCGAACGGGUAGGAUAGGACGAAACCUUCCAUUAUAAGUAUAAUGAAUUAUUAAAGUAACUAAAUGUUUUCAUAAAAUUCCCAAUCUUAGUUACUUAGGCAAAAGUGAAUUGAUGCAAUUCCAUGAAAUUACACUUUGUGCCCUUGCGAAGACGUUAGUGGAGCGUGUGUGGUUUACCGGCACACUAAAUGGUUCUAAGCAAAGGUAGCAAAGGGUGACUCAAUGUUUGUCAUAGUUCGGUGGAGCGUGUGUGGUUUACCGGCACAUCGAAUAGGUGACUGUAACAUGUGAGGGCACCAUGUAAGUUUGCAUGGUUAUUCACACCCGCUUUGUGAUCCUCGGCAUCCCAGUCACAAACAAGAGGGGCAUAUCGAGAUUUAAACAUGCCAUUGAAAGUUCAAUGAAUCUCAAAGGAUCUAGGAGUUUUCAUAGAUUUAAAACUUAAAUUUCUUUUUCGUUUUUCAUGGUGGAAAUUAGUGAAUCGUCAUUCACUUACCUUCAAAUAUUCUGCAAUUAGGGUUACGGCAUCCCUCUCCCGAGUUGUAGAAUAUUGUGUUGGGUCCUAGCCUUAGUAUCUCAUUUGGGUGAUUUACUAAGGACUCAAUCAAUCAACUAACUUGAAUUCGUUUUCUCCCGUUUUGUAGAUGUCAAAGUUCGACAACUAUGGUCUUCCCAAAUCCCGUGGAACAAGCAUUCCACAUGAAGAUGAUAUUCCACGAUUCGAUCGAGGAACAAGAAAUCAUGCUUCACUUCCUCCUCCUCCUCCAAUUAUUCUCCCUAACCCACAAGUUCAAAGGCUUGAAAAGUUCAAGAUCACUCAAGCCCUUUUGGCAAGUAAACAUAAAGAAGGAAAGUCGGUGUGUGCACACGUCCUAGGGAUGAAGUCACACAUUGAUAGGUUAAGAAUGUUGGGAUCCGUUGUCUGUGAGGAAAUGGCUGUUGAUUGGGUUCUUCAGUCACUUCCUAACUCAUAUAGUGAGUUCGUAAGAGAGUACUAUAUGAUGAACCGCGACGUGACCCUUAUAGAUCUCACCUAUAUGCUUAUUGCUGCUGAAUCAGCAAUGGUUUGGCGCAAUAGAAAAGCAAAGUUGAUUGGUGAAUCUGCCUUCAAGACCUCUAUGGAUAUAGACAAUGGCAACGAAAGACAUGCUAUGAUCGAAAAGUUUGAUCAUAAGAGAAAGGCAAUGUCUGAAGUAGUUCCAUGUCAUGUUCCAAAAGAGUCAAUUUGCUUUUAUUGCCAAGAGAAAGGGCAUUGGAGACGAAGCUGCCCCAUUUACCUAAGAGAUCUAAGAGAUGGGAGAGUCGAAACGUAUGGCUCUAAUAUAGGUAAAAUCCAUUAACUAACUCUUUUAAGCUUCUAUUCUAGAUUCUUAAUACAUAAUGUGAUAAGAUUACAAUUGAUGUUUUGUAGGAUCGAAGAAAAGAAAGGAAGCUUAAGGGAAGAAGUGAGCAGAAUCUAACCGUGAAGGAAUGGAUUUCGAUCGCAUUUCUCGAAGAUUAGAUUCUUGAGCUACUACUUAGAGUUAGAAUUAGAUUGCUAAGAAAGAUGUAUUAGCAUAGUUUUUCAAUGAAUUGCAUUGUAAGGACAAAUUUUUUCCGCAAUAAAAUAAAUUUUGAUUUUAUAUUAUUUAUUUAUCCUUGCAAUGGCGUAUAUGAAAAAUUGAUGUUUGAAUGUUUCUAUUAUUAGCAAUAAUGGAUUUGGUUCUUAUUAUGUUAUUUAUGGAAAGUCGAGAAUUUACCAAAUAGGGAGAGUUUCUCAUCGCCCAAGUUUCAAUUGGACAGAAACUUGGAAUCAUGCAACUUGGUUGCACGAUGAAUGAGAAAUUUCAUAUUUGGAAAUUAGACUAAUUCAUUGACAAAGUGUCAAGUGAAGGACUAGGAGAUCGAGUACACAAAGUUGCGUGUUGAUCAAGUCCACCAUAAGAGUAACAAAGAUAUUCGUCAUGAUUUACUAAAGGUUUAGUAAAUAUGAUUAUACUUACAAGAUUAAGUGUAAUUCUGAAUUGAUUGAAAAAGUUUAAAUCAAUAGCAGAACGAAUAAGAAGAAUCAAGUAGGCAGAAAGAUAAAAGUUUCUCCAUUCUAAGAAGAAGGGAGAGUACCUUUUAUGCUUUAUGAUAGGUCUUAAUGAUUAAGAACCAUAUCUCAAUUGAUCCUCUAAGUGAGUCUUAGUACAAUUGUAUGUCUAAGAAGAGGAAUCAAGAAUUGAAGAAAUGGUUAAAUCAAGAAGUCAAUCAUACUUCGUUCCAAAACAAGUCUUAGAGUUAAGAUUGUGACAUUGAGUGAAAAGUAUUAAGAAGGUUUAUAACAUUCAUCAAAUGUGGAAAGUUGUGAUGUCUUGGAUAAGACAAAGACCAACUAGGACCAAUUUAUGAAGUGUUUUGAUAAAAGCUACACUAACUCUUGAAUAUUUGUUUGUCAAGAAAUGUUUAUUGACAAGAGAAUCUUAUAUGUCAAGGAGUCAGUGGGAGUCUUAAUGGUCUUGAAAGGUUUCAAGAACAAAUCAAAUAAACCUUAUCGAUCAUCACUAGCACACGAGUUGAGGUUUACAACCUAUCGUGUUGACAUUAUUUUGUUUCUGUGCCAAUCCAAUCGAGUUAAUUAUGCAUGUGAGUUCUAUGAGUUCUCAUUUGAAUGCAUAAAAGGCAAGGACCUUGAUCAAUGGAAAGUACAUUGAUAAGAAAAGGUGAGCUGCUUAACUACUUGGAAGACAUGGUGGGCAGCUGUGCUACCAUAAGGCAAGAAAUCAAGAUUAAGAAAGUUCGGUCCAUAUGAGUUUGAAUUUGUCGUAAACUUUGGUUUUAACAAAUUCACAUGGAUAGGAACACAUACACCGUUUAAAUCUAAGUGUCAUAAGAUUUCCUCCUUCAUGAAAAUGAUUGUGAGGAAAUGCUUUCACUAAGAAAGAUUUUAAGAAGAUAGUGAUUGUAAAAUUGCAUUCUCGAAUUCGAUUAUGGUUACGGUAUCCCUUUCCAUAAUUUGAAUUGUGAGGUUUGGCAAUUAGUCUUAAUUGUUUAGACACACAUAUGAACUAUCUAAGGCAAAGGUGUAUAAGUUCAAGAAGCCUUGAUAAAAGAUUAUCAAAGCACUAAGUAUUAGAAACAUGAACUUAAGAAAUUCAAUAAGUAUUGUUUUUCUGAAAGUUAAGAUGUUUAUGAAUACAUGUCGAAGCUAGUGGGAGCAUAAGUGUUAUGUUUUAUAAUAAUCAUCAUGAUAGUGGGAGCAUAAAUGUUAUGAUUGUAUGAUUAUUAAGGCACGUAUUGCAAGUUGGCAAUAUUAAUUAUAGAAAACAAGAGUUAUACCUUGCAAAGUCGUAAGGGUUGUAAAGUUGUUUUGCUAUAAUUAAGGGAGAGAAUAUUAUGCUUCAUUUCAAAUCUAAAGGCUUAGGUUGAGAAAUGUUAAUAAAUUUAGUCAAAGGUACAUAGUGUGUUCUUAAAAUUUCGAUUAUGAUUACGGCAUUCCUCUUCACAAUUCGAAUUUUGAGAACAUAGCAAAUAAAACAUUAUGCGUCGUGUCCCAUACGCUUCGGGUAUAGGAUCGAUUGCAAAUGCUUUAAUGUUUGACCAUUCUAAAAUUUUCCAAAUGUCGAGCGCAUUUAGAGGGAAAAGGGACUAGAAUUGGUUUUGACUAAAAUAAUUAAACAACUAUCAAAGGACAAUCCAAAGUUCGACGAGGAUUGGUCGCUUGUGAGUAGUUGGAAGCAUGGUAUUGGAUGGACCAUAUCGACAUUAUUAUGAAUAGAAAAGAUUCUAUUAAGAAUGAGUUGUCAUAUGGAAAUUAUGGAAAUGUUUCCAUAUUGGAUGGACCAUAUCGACAUCAUUACGAAUAGAUAAGAUUCUAUUAAGAAUGAGUUGUCAUAUGGAAAAUAUGGAAGCGUGUCCAUAUUGGGAAUUGAAUAUUGAAAAUCUAUGUCUAGAUUAGAAACUUUUAUGCAAAAGGAUGUUCAAAGGAAUGUACUUUGAGUGAGAGACAUCAUAUCUAAGGAAUUGUCUUGUAACAAUCUCCGAUAGAGGACUUUGUAAUAUCAUUGGCAAUAGUCUUUGUGACUUUGGUGCAGUGACAUUACGAAAGGAUCAUUGCAUAGAAUGUUAGAAUCUAGCAUAUUCUAUAAGUAACAAGAAUUUGAUAUUCUUUAACUUAUGAAAAACGGAUUUGGAGUUGUGAAAUGAGAAGGAUUGGAAAUGUGUUCAAUGUGAUCUAUUUCACAAAGUAAGAACCAUAGGUAAACAUUGUGUGCAUGCUAGGAGCAUGGGACAAGUGUUGUAAUUCAAGUAAGAAGUUGAUUACCCGAAACGACAAAUAAUGAGUAAUCAAUAUGGUGAUAAAUAAAAGGAGUUUUAUUUAUACUCAAAGGUUUGAGGCCAUAUGGGAUUAGUAUUAUUCUUGUGUUUCACAUUUGCAUGUUUUGACUUCCAGAAUAAUUGAAUUUAUUAAGAAUAAUCGAAUUAUUCGAACGGGCCACAGUCGUUCAUAUGUUGGAAGUAGAUAUGAAUGAAGACUGUCGUGAAUUGGUGUGUGGAUUGUCUAAAAGAGUAUUAGACAUAAGCAAAUGUUUGCUGCAACGUUCAUGAGUGCUUAUGAAUAUGAUUUGAGCAUUGGAUUAAACCCACGCUCACUUGGAUCACUCCAUGAAUUGUAUCACGAGUGAUUGGUGAGACGAUAACAUCUUAUAUUCUUGAAACCGAGAUGUGUGAGUUGUAUCUUGCAAAUCGGUUGCACAUUGAUAAUAUGUAAACGCACUAGUAACUUGGUGUUAUAAAACAUAUUGUUGUGUGUGAUUCGGUGAGUGAGUGCAAGCAAGCAUUGUAUCAAAGUUUAUCCGUUCCUUUUAUCCAAAGUAGGAUAAAAGCGAUAUCUUUGGGCCCCUCGAUGAUUUAGUGAUGACAAACGUAAAUGCUCGGCCGGGCUAGGGCUAAUUUGAUUUGUUCAAUUAGUCAGUCGUCAUAAAUCGGAAAUCGAGAUAUAGUACAAAGAGAAUGAUUUGAAAUCAUAUCUCAUAUGAUAUCUAGAAUGGAGGAAUAUAUGAUCCCUUAUCUAAGGACACGCGUAUCUGAUAUGAUCAGAGUUGACAGCGGCUUUGGAAAGCUACGAUUGCAGAUCGGGAUCCGAAGUCAUACGCAGAAUAGUUGUUAGACUUAUCCAAGUGGGAGACUGUUGGAUUAGUGUCUAAGUCCAUAACUAUUUUGGUAUGUACUUGACCCGAUGGUGCAUGGUCCUUUUGGGUUGCCUUCACCAAAGCAACUUGAUUGGAGAAAUAAAUAGAGAGAGAGGUUAUUAUGAUUUAUUAAUAUGUUAUAAGAAUAAUAUAUUAAAGGAGAAAUCAUAUUUGUUUAAUUAAUAUUAUAUUGGUCAAUAAUUAAUUAAGAAUUAAUUUUGUGAUCAAGUGUGAUUAAUUAAACUAGAGGGGCUGAACUGUAAUUAUGUGAUAGUUGCAAAAUAAGGUAAGGAUUAUCUUAAAUAUAUGGUGAACGAAUUUAAGGAGAUAAUGCCUUAGAAUUCGACUAGGAUAAGGGUUUCUAAGACUUAUCUUAUGGUUGCUUGGUGGGCAAGCAACUAGAUAAGGAUAAGGACUAAAACCCUAAUAUUUACACCUAUAUAAACCCCCUAAGGCUCAUGAAUUCGUCUAAGCCUUCCCAAGAAGUCCUAAGGACGAAUUCCUACCUCUCUCCUCUCUCUUUAUACCUUCUCCAUUUGCUCUUGGUGUUUGUAAGCCAUUAGAGGAGUGACACUUGUGACUCUAAGCCUUCCAAAGUC